rnacentral:rRNA from 1 species
ACGAACGCUGGCGGCGUGCUUAACACAUGCCAGUCGAACGGAAAGGCCCUGCUUGCAGGGUCCUCGAGUGGCGAACGGGUGAGUAACACGUGGGUGAUCUGCCCUGCACUUCGGGAUAAGCCUGGGAAACUGGGUCUAAUACCGGAUAGGAGCCAUUUUUAGUGUGAUGGUUGGAAAGUUUUUUCGGUGUAGGAUGAGCUCGCGGCCUAUCAGCUUGUUGGUGGGGUAAUGGCCUACCAAGGCGGCGACGGGUAGCCGGCCUGAGAGGGUGGACGGCCACAUUGGGACUGAGAGACGGCCCAGACUCCUACGGGAGGCAGCAGUGGGGAAUAUUGCACAAUGGGCGCAAGCCUGAUGCAGCGACGCCGCGUGGGGGAUGACGGCCUUCGGGUUGGAAACUCCUUUCGCUAGGGACGAAGCUUUUUGUGACGGUACCUAGAUAAGAAGCACCGGCUAACUACGUG